GGCUCGGUGGUGUAGUUGGUUAUCACGUCAGUCUAACAAGGUUCGAACUCUUGAAUCCGUACACUGAAGGUCCCGAGUUCAAGCCUCGGCUGAGUCA